UACGUAGGUGGCAAGCGUUGUCCGGAUUUACUGGGCGUAAAGAGCGCGCAGGCGGUCGGAUAAGUCGAAUGUGAAAGCCCCUGGCUCAACCAGGGAGGGUCAUUCGAUACUGUUCGACUCGAAGGCAGGAGAGGAAGUGGAAUUCCGGGUGUAGUGGUGAAAUGCGUAGAUAUCAGGAGGAACACCGGUGGCGAAGGCGGCAUCCUGGACCGGCAUUGACGCUGAGGAGCGAAAGCUAGGGGAGCAAACGGG
rnacentral:rRNA from 1 species